CGGCGAGCUACCGAGGGAGGUUCCGGAGGAGUAAAGACCGGCGUCGCGGCGACUGGAUCUCGCUAAGACCUACGACGUAACUCAAGAGCAGACGAAUUUUUGCUCUCUGCGCAAGUGCGAAUCAUUAAGCUCUUGUUAAAAAUUACUAUGCUACCAAAAGCAAUAAUGUAAAAUUUCGAGCAAGUGUUAACUAAUGAAAGCAUGCAAGUACCAGAUUUGGCUCCUCCCAUUCAAAUGAAAUCCAACCAAUCCGAUUCGGAAAUCUGUUUCCUAAACAUCUCAGAGCACAGCCGGUUCGAUAACCCUAUUGUUGUUUUUAUGCGCAUCAAGACUUUAUGGAUGAAGCAGCUAAGCCAAAUGUAUUCAUCUCUUAUUUGAAUACUCUUAGACGAUAUAAGUGGGUUAUAAUCUUUCCAACUGUUUCGUUUUAUUUGAUUUACAAAGACUACACCCGAACUCUCAAAUACAAAGCACAGAAAGCACAAGCUUACUAACCUAAAGCAUUU